UGGGAUACCUAAAGUUCCCAUAGCAAACUGCUCAGUAACACAUGAUCAACUUACCCUAUAGAGAAAAACAACCUCGGGAAACUGAGGAUAAUGUUUCAUAAUUGAAUUGGCUUGGAAAAGUUUUUCAAUGAAAGGGAUAAAAAAAAUGGUUUUUAUCUGCUAUAGGAUAGGAUCGUGUUCGAUUAUGGUUGUUGGUGAGAUAAUGGCUCACCAAGCCGAUAAUCGAUAGGGGCCGUGAGAGCGGGAGCCCCGAGAUGGGUACUGAAACAACGACCCAGGCCUUACAAGGCGCAGCAGGCGCGGAACCUCCGCANUACACGAAAGUGUGACGGGGUUACCCAAAGUGUUCAAUAAAACUGUGGUAGGUGAGUAAUGUCCCCUACUAGAAAGGAGAGGGCAAGGCUGGUGCCAGCCGCCGCGGUAAAACCAGCUCUUCAAGUGGUCGGGAUAAUUAUUGGGCUUAAAGUGUCCGUAGCCGGUUUAGUAAGUUCCUGGUAAAAUCGGGUAGCUUAACUAUUCUGCAUGCUAGGAAUACUGCUAUACUAAAGGGCG
rnacentral:rRNA from 1 species